UACUGAAAUCAUAUGAGAAUACACACAGGUAAGACACACUCACUACUAAAAUCAUAUGAGAGUACACACAGUUAAGACACACACACUACUGAAAUCAUAUGAGAAUACACACAGGUAAGACACACUCACUACUAAAAUCAUAUGAGUACACACAGGUAAGACACACACACUACUAAAAUCAUAUGAGAAUACACACAGGUAAGACACACACACUACUUAAAUCAUGAGAGUACACACAAGUAAGACACACACACUACUUAAAUCAUAUGAGAAUACACAAAGGUAAGACACACACACUACUAUAAUCAUAUGAGAAUACACACAGGUAAGAAACACACACACACUACUGAAAUCAUGAGUACACACUAGUAAGACACACACACACAACUAAAAUCAUGAGAAUACCCACAGGUAAGACACACACACUACUUAAAUCAUAUGAGAAUACACACAGGUAAGACACACACACUACUUAAAUCAUAUGAGUACACACAGGUAAGACACACUCACUACUAAAAUCAUAUGAGAGUACACACAGGUAAGAAACACACACACACACACACUACUGAAAUCAUAUGAGAAUACACACAGGUAAGAAACACACACACACUACUGAAAUCAUAUGAGCACACACUAGUAAGACACACACACUACUAAAAUCAUAUGAGAAUACACACAGGCAAGACACACACACUACUAAAAUCAUAUGAGAGUACACACAGGUAAUAAACACACACACACACACACUACUGAAAUCAUAUGAGAAUACACACAGGUAAGAAACACACACACACUACUGAAAUCAUAUGAGCACACACUAGUAAGACACACACACUACUGAAAUCAUAUGAGAAUACACACAGGCAAGACACACACACUACUAAAAUCAUAUGAGAGUACACACAGGUAAUAAACACACACACACACACUACUAAAAUCAUAUGAGAAUAUACACAGGUAAGACACACACAUUACUAAAAUCAUAUGAGAAUACACACAGGUAAGACACACACACUACUAAAAUCAUAUGAGAAUACACACUAGUAAGACACACACUACUAAAGUCAUAUGAGAAUACACACUAGUAAGACACACACUACUAAAAUCAUAUGAGAAUACACACUAGUAAGACACACACACUGCUUAAAUCAUGAGAGUACACACAGGUAAGACACACACAUUACUAAAAUCAUAUGAGAAUACACACUAGUAAGACACACACACUACUAAAAUCAUAUGAGAAUACACACAGGUAAGACACACACUGCUUAAAUCAUGAGAAUACACACAGGUAAGACACACACUACUUAAAUCAUAUGAGAAUACACACAGGUAAGACACACACUACUUAAAUCAUAUGAGAAUACACACAGGUAAGACACACACACACUACUAAUAUCAUAUGAGAAUACACACAGGUAAGACACACACUACUAAAAUCAUAUGAGAAUACACACAGGUAAGACACACACUACUUAAAUCAUAUGAGAAUGCACACAGGUAAGACACACACAAACUACUUAAAUCAUAUGAGAAUACACACAGGUAAGACACACACACUACUUAAAUCAUAUGAGAAUACACACAGGUAAGACACACACACUACUUAAAUCAUAUGAGAAUACACACAGGUAAGACACACACACUACUUAAAUCAUAUGAGAAUACACACAGGUAAGACACACACACUACUUAAAUCAUAUGAGAAUACACACAGGUAAGACACACACACUACUUAAAUCAUAUGAGAAUACACACAGGUAAGACACACACACUACUUAAAUCAUAUGAGAAUACACACAGGUAAGACACACACACUACUUAAAUCAUAUGAGAAUACACACAGGUAAGACACACACACUACUUAAAUCAUAUGAGAAUACACACAGGUAAGACACACACACUACUUAAAUCAUAUGAGAAUACACACAGGUAAGACACACACACUACUUAAAUCAUAUGAGAAUACACACAGGUAAGACACACACACUACUUAAAUCAUAUGAGAAUACACACAGGUAAGACACACACACUACUUAAAUCAUAUGAGAAUACACACAGGUAAGACACACACACUACUUAAAUCAUAUGAGAAUACACACAGGUAAGACACACACACUACUUAAAUCAUAUGAGAAUACACACAGGUAAGACACACACACUACUUAAAUCAUAUGAGAGUACACACAGGUGAGAGGUUACAUUACUGCUUUGUUAGAUACUUAAGCAAUAAGGCUCGAGGAGGUGUGGUAUAUGGCCAAUAUACCACGGCUAAGGGCUGUUCUUAUGUACCACGCAACGCAGAGUGCCUGGAUACAACAUAUACCACAUACCCCCAGGUGCCUUACUGCUAUUAUAAACUGGUUACCAACGUAAUUAGAGCAGUAGAAAUACAUGUUUUGUCAUUCCCGUGGUGUAUGGUCUGAUAUACCACAGCUGUCAGCCAAUCAGCAUUCAGGGCUCGAACCACCCGGUUAAAAUUGACAUUAACUAAGUGCUCCACUC